GCCUCUCAUAAGCGCACUGGCUAGGACUAUGGCGUCAGCAUUUUGAUGACGAAUUACGGUUAAGCCAAAAUCAUAGGAAAUACCAAGAAGUCGGGUUUCUGUAUAGUCUCUAUUCUGUGACUGCGUUGUGAAGGAGAUAUACAACCCGUAGCGAAGGCCCUUCAUCGAGACGUGAGUGGCCAACUAUACCUUCCUGUUGUCGUUGAAGAGCCUUCGCUGCUAGUGAAAUUCUCAAACGAUAUAAUUUGCCGACAAACAUUUUAACGUCAACCAUAUUUGACGGUUAAUUAAAGUUUAAUCGCGCGAUAACUUGUGAAAACAAAAUAAUGAUUGGUGUUUAUUUGCAAAUUACAAUCUUUUAGCCCAUCAGCACACAUGCAACUCGUUUGCGUUGGCGAGUUUUGAUUGAUUUCAUAAAUUGUGAUAAGAUUUUUAUUGGUAUAAUUGUUUGUGAAGUACAGUAUGACCUAAAGUUCAAAGAUUUCAACAAUUUUUUUUAAAAAAUGGAGAGAACAUAGUUUGCAUUUAUGCAAUUUGACAUUAACCUGAUUUGCGUCGUAACGCAUGUACUUUAUGGCCAUUGACGCAAUGACGCCCAAUUUGCAUUCGGAACUGUGCGUUUAUAUACCAGAGACACUGCAGAGCGCAGAUUAUGUAAAUUUGCCAACCAGACAUUGUAAAGCUGAAGUACUACAAGAUUGAAGGUCAACAGGCCGCAUUUUAUGUUAAUACGUUUAUCAGUACAUCAAACAAAUAUGUAACACUUGUACAGAUCGUAUAAACCUUGCAUGCAGACCAUACAAGAGCAUAUUAUGCAAAAUGUUGUAGAAUUUCCUAUACUAGACUGCAUAGCAUGUAUACUGCGCAUUUUAAUCUAUUAAAUUAACCAAGUUCAUGCAUGCCUUUAAAAUAUUGUUGUAUGCAGACAAUUGAAGCAAGAAUUUGAUAUAGACAUGACUAGCGAACAAGCCGAGGAACAUGCCGUAUUCUGUAAAAUGUUUUGCGCGAUUUAUGUCCAAGGUAUUUCUUAUGAUAAUCCGGGCGUAAGUCAGGGGCGAGGGUACUAAUUUAUAUUGGAUGCAAAGGUGGGCAGGUUUCAUUGGAUGGAAAUAUAAAAAUCUAGACGUCGCGAUGGAAAACAUAUAUUUCCCGGUUGCUCAUCAAGUAAAAAUAACAAUUUUGGCAUACGAUGCAGGAUUUAAUUUUUUUAUGAAUUAGCACUUUAAUUAAGUGGUGCUGAGAAUAUUCCUUGAGGACAACGAUAUCUCUACAGUGUGGAAUUUAGAAACUUAAAAGGAUAUCCCAAUUAGGCAUUUACUGAAGCAAUGUUUUAAACUAAUACAUUAUGUAAAUUACACAUAUACUCAACCUUUUCGGUGUUGUAAAAUAAAUCUUGAAUAAAUACUGCAUUCUAUACGAUAACUAUAUAUACAAACUCCUGUUGUAGGCAUUUGAAGUGAAUACUUAAUACUCGAGUAGAUCAUAGUUAGGGUUAAACCUUAAUAGCGCUACUUAUGCUAAUCUUAAAGGCAACAUGAUGCAGGCUACAUGCAAUCUUACCAUAUUUCUAUCGACUAUGAUCUUACAUAACGCAUUAUAUCUUAAUUACGUUAUCCAGACAUUGCGCGCAAAUAUGCGAUUCUUUCGUAGAUUUGUGUGAUUCUUAUCUUUAUAGGCAACGGAUCAGACAAAUAUUUGACAAGUUUCUACCAUGUUAUCGAAUAAAGAUUUCAGACGAUAAAAUUUUAAUACCGGUCACAUGAAGCAAGCAUUACCAAAUACCAAGCCACCAACAGCCGAAGACAAACAACAUACUUUUCAUUUCUGAAGGAAGGGAAUACUUUGCCUCUGUGCCAUUCAUUGCAUUCCUUUCGAGAAAUCGCCGCUACUGAACAUUUUUUUUGUUCAGUUCUGCUCAUAACAAAGGGGGACCCGCAGAUAUAAUUAUAUGUUGUCUCGCUUAACAAUUUCACAAUCAUGUUACUAUCUCAUUUCUUCUUUAUUUUAUUUUUGAUUUUGUAUAAUUACCUUUCCACAUCCAAAAAAUGGAUUUGAUAAAAUGCAGUAAAUAGUGCAGAGUGCCAACUCUGUUGUUCUUAAUCUGCCCAUGCAUGUUUUUAAUCUGGCCAUGUUAUAAUUAAUCUGCUCAUGUUAUAAUUAUGUAACUAUAGUGUUGUAAUCCUUGCUUUCAAGUUAUGUCUACUGGAUUUGAUAAAAUGCAGUGAAUAGUGGAGAGUGCCAACUCUGUUGUUCUUAAUCUGCCCAAUGCCCAUGCAUGUUUUUAAUCUGGCCAUGUUAUAAUUAAUCUGCUCAUGUUAUAAUUAUGUAACUAGUGUUGUAAUCCUUGCUUUCAAGUUAUGUCUACUAGGUUUUUUUGUCAGGUUGGUUAUCACAUGGGACUCAUGUCAGGUUGGUUAUCACAUGGGACUAUAAACCUUCAACUGUAUUUAAAUGAAGUGUUGGCUCAGUUUUUUCAAAAAGUUUAUUUGUAAUAAUUUUAUAGUAUUUGUAUACGGUUGUAAGGUUAGUAAAUAAAUGAAAAUAAAUUAAACACCCUGCCUAAAGCCGGUUUUCAUUAGGCGGA
rnacentral:lncRNA from 1 species